rnacentral:lncRNA from 1 species
CGGAUUUAUUUAAAAUUUGAUAUUUUAUGUAUCCAAACCUGGCCCAUGAUCACCUCUAUUGGCAAGUAUUCGCAAUUUGAUUUUGUUAAAUCAUCACAUACAGGCACAAAGCUUUUAAGUUUAAAAUGGACUUGCUCUCGCUAGUUAGUUUCACUAAGAACCAAGUUUGCAUUUCUUUUCCCUCACAAAAAAGACCUAUGAAUUGAAGCCAC